GAAAGCCAGGCCUAAACAUGCAGUCGAGCGGAACGUAUCCCAGCUUGGUGGGAGGCGUCAAGCGGCGGACGGGUGAGUAAUGCAUAGGAAUCUGCCCGGUAGUGGGGGAUAACUUGAGGAAACUCAAGCUAAUACCGCGUACGCCCUACGGGGGAAAGCAGGGGCUCUUCGGACCUUGCGCUAUCGGAUGAGCUUAUGUCGGAUUAGCUGGUUGGUGAGGUAAUGGCUCACCAAGGCGACGAUCCGUAGCUGGACUGAUAGGAUGAUCAGCCACAUCGGGACUGAGACACGGCCCGAACUCCUACGGGAGGCAGCAGUGGGGAAUAUUGGACAAUGGGCGAAAGCCUGAUCCAGCCAUGCCGCGUGUGUGAAGAAGGCCCUCGGGUUGUACAGCACUUUCAGAGAUGAAGAAGGCUUGUCGGUUAAUACCCGACAGGAAAGACAUCACUCACAGAAGAAGCACCGGCUAACUCCGUGCCAGCGGCCGCGGUAAUACGGAGGGUGCAAGCGUUAAUCGGAAUUACUGGGCGUAAAGCGUGCGUAGGCGGCUUGCUAAGCCGGUUGUGAAAGCCCCGGGUUCAACCUGGGAAUGGCAUCCGGAACUGUCAGGCUAGAGUGCAGGAGAGGAAGGUAGAAUUCCCGGUGUAGCGGUGAAAUGCGUAGAGAUCGGUAGGAAUACCAGUGGCGAAGAGCGGCCUUCUGGACUAUACACUGACGCUGAGGUACGAAAGCGUGGGUAGCAAACAGGAUUAGAUACCCUGGUAGUCCACGCCGUAAACGAUGUCGACUAGCCGUUGGGGUCCUUGAGACCUUUUGUGGCGCAGUUAACGCACUAAGUCGACCGCCUGGGGAGUACGGCCGCAAGGUUAAAACUCAAAUGAAUUGACGGGGGCCCGCACAAGCGGUGGAGCAUGUGGUUUAAUUCGAUGCAACGCGAAGAACCUUACCUACCCUUGACAUCGUGCGAACUUGGUAGAGAUACCUUUGGCUGCCUUCGGGAGCGCACAGACAGGUGCUGCAUGCUGUCGUCAGCUCGUGGUUGUGAAAUGUUGGGUUUAAGUCCCGUAACGAGCGCAACCGUUGUCUUAUUUGGCCAGCGAUCCGUCGGUACUCUAAGUAGACUGGCUGGUGCACACAAACCCGGAG
rnacentral:rRNA from 1 species